CCUACGGGAGGCAGCAGUGGGGGAUAUUGCACAAUGGGGGGAACCCUGAUGCAGCGACGCCGCGUGGGCGAUGGAGUACUUCGGUAUGUAAAGCCCUAUCAGCAGGGAAGAAAAUGACGGUACCUGACUAAGAAGCCCCGGCUAAAUACGUGCCAGCAGCCGCGGUAAUACGUAUGGGGCGAGCGUUAUCCGGAUUUAUUGGGUUUAAAGGGUGCGCAGGCGGGAGAUCAAGUCAGCGGUAAAAUGUCGGGGCUCAACCCCGGCCGGCCGUUGGAACUGGUUUUCUAGAGUUGGAGGGAAGGAUG
rnacentral:rRNA from 1 species